GGGCCGUUAACUCAGUUGGUAGAGUAUCUGCCUUUUAAGCAGAGAGUCGCGUGUUCGAGCCACGCACGGCCCACCA
rnacentral:tRNA from 1 species